GCCGCCGUCUCCGCCCACCCACCCACCGGCCGCCGCGCCGCCCCUCCUCCGGCGCCGUUCCUCUCCUCCAGAUCUCCCCCGCCCCCACCCCACACAUCGCGCUUUUCCUCUCCCGAGCAUGCCCGGCCGCCGCCGCCGCCCCCCGUCCCCCGUUCGCUAGGGUUGAGGUCGCUGGGCCUCCUCCGGCGGCAAGGUGCUCGGCGAGGAUGAGAAGAACGCCGGGAACGUCUCCGCCUGGCCCGAGGUCACCGACACUGGCACCCCGAGCACCUUCUCCUCAGGCGUCGCCGCCCCGUUCCUCUUAGACUCCGACGCUGCCGGCCACCUGCACCGCCGUCCUCUUCAACUCUUCUGCUUCGUCGACGGUCGCCACCACGCAUCGAGGCCCAAGUUUGGAGGAAGAAGACUCCCAGGGACACCUCCAACUAAAUUGCUCAUGGCCAAUUAUCCUCAGCCCACAUAGCACCUAGCACCGACGUGAGGUGUUAAGAAGAUGCCAGGCAACAAAAAGAACAACAAAGUUGUGAGACUUGGCAAUGUGAUUGAAAGGUUAGGCAAGUUGACGGGGGUCAUAAAGAAGGGCACCGGUGCGACACGUUUCACACAGGUAGGCAGGGCCAAACCCGCACAACGAGCCACGGUGGAUGGUACCCGGGGUAGACGAAAUGGUCGUACCCUUGUGUCCCGUGUUGCUAGCCCUAUCCCCUCUGCCCAUUCUGAGGAGGAGUCGGAGGAGGAGAGGGGGAGGAGCUAGUUAUGGAGGAGAGGGAAGAGGAGGCAGAGGAGGAGGGGGAGGAGGAGCUAGUUGUGCAGGAGGAGUUGGAGGAGGGAGAGUAUGAGGUGGAGGAAUCGGCAAAGGACAUGGAAUGGCCGGUUCCUAAGGAGACCAAAAUCUAGUUGCGUGGGGUGUCCACGCUCCCUUCGCGACCAUAUCCACAUAAGGGGAUCAUUGUUAAACCAGUUGGUGUGAGGGCCUUGGUGGUUAUUCCAGAAGGCACAAUCCCGCCAUGAUAGCCAAGCACCAUCAUUAGAUGUCUUUGUAGGCAUUAUUACCCCAGCCUGGUUCCCAUAGGAGACGGUGAGGAGGAGCCAGCUUGGUCUUGGGAGCAUUGCAAAUGCGCUCCAGAUACGAAAGACAAGUGGGACAGGGAGUACCGCAGUGCUGCUGAGCGGGUGGUCAACGAUUUUUGGGACUUCUUUACUUGCGUUGAGGGUAUGGAGGAUGAAGCUAAUGAGGUCGUGGAGGAGAUUGCCAAGAAGAUUGUCCAAGACAUGCCUUACGAGGCUCGCGUCAAUGCUGUGGCGGUUCCCCCGUGGUGCAACAACAAGAUUCCUUGCUACCAGCAAAUCAUAUCUAGGUGGAUAAACCCAGAGUGGAGGGACACACGCAGAGCAGCUUCGGAGCGACGUGCCUUGAUGGGUGGUCCGGUACACCUUCAAGGCAACCUCAACCUCCAUGCUUACGUGCAGGAGAAGAAUAGGGAGAGAGGUGAGGGUGAAGAGCCGCUCAAUACCUUCACGGGAUUAUGUCUCUCCCGCAAGUCAAAGAAACUGGAAGGGGGGUGGGUCAACCCAAGGGCUGGGUUGAGGAUUGAUGCAUAUAAUGGGAAGUUCAAGGAGUGCAACGGGCCCAACUCUGAUCCAGCCUCACAUGACAUUGAUGUUACGGUUUCCCUCAAGUCGGGACAAGGCAAGAAGCGUGGGCGGUUAUAUGUUGGUGACGGUUCCAUCCGUAAGAAGGACAUUCCAAAACUUGCCCACCUCCGUGCUACCACGUCGAGCUCAGAUCCUGCUAUUGAGCGUUGCCCAGAGUCUGGGCUGCACAUGAUGCAUCAAUUCCAUGCUUGCCUAGAGGAAGAAAGCAGGUUGCGGCAGGAAGAAACCAGGUUGCGGCUGGAGGCUCAGGCCAAUGCCCUACUUCAACAGGAGCAAGCCAUGAAAAUGCAGCAAGCCCUGUUUCAGCAGCAGGAAUUCAUGGUUAAACAGCAGGCAGCCCUGCAGGAGACACUCGCUCGGUUCAGUACUAAUAUGCAGGGUUCUACUUUGCCGGAUCUUCCUCCUGUUCCGCCGCUUCCUACUUUUAGCUUUGUGGAUCUACACCUGCCCAAGCAAGCCCAGUGACACCCACUGCGGCUCAUGGUGCUUCAACCUCCACACCACAAUGAUCACUCGUGGUUUGCAUCGUGGAUGCCAUCGAUGGUGGGCAUACAUGCUGUGGUGGAAGCUGAUUGCAUCUUUUAGGUUGAACUCAUGCUAGGUGUGAACUUGGAACUCAUGAUUCCAUUUGUGGACUCUUGUUGCAUCUGUAGGUGAACCCUAGUUGAAUAUGUACGCUUGUGGACUUUGAACUCAUGGCCCUUUUGUUUGUGAACUCUUGUUGCAUAUGUACACAUGUUUUUGUGAACCUUCUUUGAAUAUGUAUGCAUCUGUGGACUACUCAUGGUUGGUUUGUUA